rnacentral:rRNA from 1 species
UACGUAGGGUGCGAGCGUUAAUCGGAAUUACUGGGCGUAAAGCGUGCGCAGGCGGUUCGCUGUGUCCGAUGUGAAAGCCCCGGGCUUAACCUGGGAAUGGCAUUGGAAACUGGCGGGCUUGAGUGCGGCAGAGGGGGGUGGAAUUCCGCGUGUAGCAGUGAAAUGCGUAGAGAUGCGGAGGAACACCGAUGGCGAAGGCAGCCCCCUGGGCCUGCACUGACGCUCAUGCACGAAAGCGUGGGGAGCAAACAGG